UUUUAAUUUUGUUCUCUGUGUGAACCCUGCAUCUAGUUUUGAAUACAAAUUGAAAACUACCUAUUAUUUCUCUGUAGAAGGGGAUUAGAAUACUAGUAUUAUAAGUAUAUAGUAUAGUAUUAGUAUUCUAAGAAGCAUAAGAGCCAAAAAUGGGAUUGUGUCAGGUUAACAACCGGUGUAAAAUUUUGUCUAACAGUAUGAGGAGUUCUAGACAAGACUUUGACGGAUUGUCCCUUCUCUGAUGAAAAUAAGUGAGAGCAGGUACACGGUGCAUGAAUGCAUGUUAUUGUUUACAGAUGAUUGUAUAAGUAGGUAGCUUUGUAAGAGAAAAUUUGGAAUAGGUAAGUUAACAAUAAGCCUAAAGAAUGGAGGCUGUAAAACAGAGUAUAUAGAGUAUGAGUUUGGAGAAACAACACAAGACAGCUAACGAUAAUAAGCGAUAACUUAAUAGGGGAGGUUGAGUGUUUUAAGUUGGUACUUAGGAUUUUUUUUUAUACAAAAUAACUGAUUGGCUUUGCCAAGGAGGAGAAACAUAGGAUUAAAUGGAAGCGGCAGGCGUUUUAUGCGACAAGAUGAUUUCAAUGACACUUAAACAUAAGUUCUGCCAUGUGCCCGGGUAUUUGAGUGUUUAGCCAAGCUCAUUAAAUUUCUAAUUGAACUCGUGCACCGAAAAGGAGGUACGGGACCUAAAAGUUUUUUACCCGAACGGUCACUUGUAAUGAUAAUCCCAUUUUUGAAACCGAUUUCCCGAACAUAAUCCGGGUACAUUGUAUAUUGAAUUAAAAUGAUUAAUGAAACAUACAGUAAAAACCAAAAGUAUUUAUUUCUUUUG